GUGUCAGCCGCCGCGGUAAUACGUAGGGUGCAAGCGUUAAUCGGAAUUACUGGGCGUAAAGCGUGCGCAGGCGGUUUUGUAAGACAGAGGUGAAAUCCCCGGGCUCAACCUGGGAACUGCCUUUGUGACUGCAAGGCUUGAGUGCGGCAGAGGGGGAUGGAAUUCCGCGUGUAGCAGUGAAAUGCGUAGAUAUGCGGAGGAACACCGAUGGCGAAGGCAAUCCCCUGGGCCUGCACUGACGCUCAUGCACGAAAGCGUGGGGAGCAAACAGGAUUAGAUACCCCCGUAGUCC
rnacentral:rRNA from 1 species